rnacentral:tRNA from 1 species
GGGGGUAUAGCUCAGUGGUAGAGUGCAAGCUUAGCAUGCACGAGGUCGUGGGUUCAAUCCCCAGUACCUCCA